rnacentral:rRNA from 1 species
UACGGAGGGUGCAAGCGUUAAUCGGAAUUACUGGGCGUAAAGCGCACGCAGGCGGUUUGAUAAGUCAGAUGUGAAAUCCCCGGGCUCAACCUGGGAACUGCAUCUGAUACUGGCAAGCUUGAGUCUCGUAGAGGGGGGUAGAAUUCCAGGUGUAGCGGUGAAAUGCGUAGAGAUCUGGAGGAACACCGGUGGCGAAGGCGGCCCCCCGGACGAAGACUGACGAUCAGGUGCGAAAGCGUGGGGAGCAAACAGG